rnacentral:rRNA from 1 species
AACGAACGCUGGCGGCGUGCUUAAUACAUGCAAGUCGGACGUGAAAGCUCUUCGGAGUGAGUAAAGUGGCGCACGGGUGAGUAAUACAUAGGAACGUACCUUUUGGAGGGGAAUAACCACGGGAAACUGUGGCUAAUGCCGCAUGAUGUCGCAAGACCAAAGCUGGCCUCUGCUUGCAUGCUAGCACCAAAAGAUCGGCCUAUGUCCCAUUAGCUUGUUGGUGAGGUAAAGGCUCACCAAGGCUACGAUGGGUAGCUGGUCUGAGAGGAUGAUCAGCCACACUGGGACUGAGACACGGCCCAG